rnacentral:rRNA from 1 species
GACGAACGCUGGCGGCGUGCCUAAUACAUGCAAGUUGAGCGCUGAAGGUUGGUACUUGUACCGACUGGAUGAGCAGCGAACGGGUGAGUAACGCGUGGGGAAUCUGCCUUUGAGCGGGGGACAACAUUUGGAAACGAAUGCUAAUACCGCAUAAAAACUUUAAACACAAGUUUUAAGUUUGAAAGAUGCAAUUGCAUCACUCAAAGAUGAUCCCGCGUUGUAUUAGCUAGUUGGUGAGGUAAAGGCUCACCAAGGCGAUGUUACAUAGCCCACCUGAGAGGGUGAUCGGCCACACUGGGAGUGAGACACGGCCCAAACUCCUACGGGAGGCAGCAGGAGGGAAUCGUCGGCAAUGGGCGAAAGUCUGACCGAGCAAGGCCGCGUGAGGGAAGAAGGUUUUCGGGUCGUAAAACUCUGUUGGUAGAGAAGAACGUUGGUGAGAGUGGAAAGCUCAUCAAGUGACGGUAACUACCCAGAAAGGGACGGCUAACUACGUG